rnacentral:rRNA from 1 species
CGGCACGGGUGAGUAACACGUAUCCAACCUGCCGUCUACUCUUGGACAGCCUUCUGAAAGGAAGAUUAAUACAAGAUGGCAUCAUGAGUCCGCAUGUUCACAUGAUUAAAGGUAUUCCGGUAGACGAUGGGGACGCGUUCCAUUAGAUAGUAGGCGGGGUAACGGCCCACCUAGUCUUCGAUGGAUAGGGGUUCUGAGAGGAAGGUCCCCCACAUUGGAACUGAGACACGGUCCAAACUCCUACGGGAGGCAGCAG